rnacentral:rRNA from 1 species
CCUACGGGAGGCAGCAGUAGGGAAUCUUCCACAAUGGACGAAAGUCUGAUGGAGCAACGCCGCGUGAGCGAUGAAGGCCUUCGGGUCGUAAAGCUCUGUUGUUAGGGAAGAACAAGUACCGGAGUAACUGCCGGUACCUUGACGGUACCUAACCAGAAAGCCACGGCUAACUACGUGCCAGCAGCCGCGGUAAUACGUAGGUGGCAAGCGUUGUCCGGAAUUAUUGGGCGUAAAGCGCGCGCAGGCGGUUUCUUAAGUCUGAUGUGAAAGCCCCCGGCUCAACCGGGGAGGGUCAUUGGAAACUGGGGGACUUGAGUGCAGAAGAGGAGAGUGGAAUUCCACGUGUAGCGGUGAAAUGCGUAGAGAUGUGGAGGAACACCAGUGGCGAAGGCGACUCUCUGGUCUGUAACUGACGCUGAGGCGCGAAAGCGUGGGGAGCAAACAGGAUUAGAUACCCUGGUAGUCCACGCCGUAAACGAUGAGUGCUAAGUGUUAGGGGGUUUCCGCCCCUUAGUGCUGCAGCUAACGCAUUAAGCACUCCGCCUGGGGAGUACGGCCGCAAGGCUGAAACUCAAAGGAAUUGAC